rnacentral:rRNA from 1 species
UGGGGAAUUUUGGACAAUGGGCGAAAGCCUGAUCCAGCAAUGCCGCGUGUGUGAAGAAGGCCUUCGGGUUGUAAAGCACUUUUGUCCGGAAAGAAAUCCUUGGCUCUAAUACAGUCGGGGGAUGACGGUACCGGAAGAAUAAGCACCGGCUAACUACGUGCCAGCAGCCGCGGUAAUACGUAGGGUGCAAGCGUUAAUCGGAAUUACUGGGCGUAAAGCGUGCGCAGGCGGUUUGCUAAGACCGAUGUGAAAUCCCGGGCUCAACCUGGGAACUGCAUUGGUGACUGGCAGGCUAGAGUAUGGCAGAGGGGGUAGAAUUCCACGUGUAGCAGUGAAAUGCGUAGAGAUGUGGAGGAAUACCGAUGGCGAAGGCAGCCCCCUGGGCCAAUACUGACGCUCAUGCACGAAAGCGUGGGGAGCAAACAGGAUUAGAUACCCUGGUAGUCCACGCCCUAAACGAUGUCAACUAGUUGUUGGGGAUUCAUUUCCUUAGUAACGUAGCUAACGCGUGAAGUUGACCGCCUGGGGAGUACGGUCGCAAGAUUAAAACUCAAAGGAAUUGACGGGGU